UAUCCGUUGGUGAACCAGCGGAGGGAUCAUUACUGAGUUAACGCUCUACAACCCUUUGUGAACAUACCUAACUGUUGCUUCGGCGGGCAGAGGUCCCUCGCGGAUCUCUCCCGGCAACGCCCUCCCGGGCGGAGCGCCCGCCGGAGGAUACCAAACUCUAUUUUAACGACGUUUCUUCUGAGUGGCACAAGCAAAUAAUUAAAACUUUUAACAACGGAUCUCUUGGUUCUG
rnacentral:misc_RNA from 1 species